GGUGCCGGUGACACGGGCGGUGGCCGCAGUUCGCCUUCCUGUUCUACCUGCUGACCUACGUGGGGGCCGCGUUCAACGGGCUCACCCUGCUCGGAGCGGGUGUGAUCUGUGCAUUCACCUUCCCCGUGCUCUACCGGCGCCACCAGGCCCAGAUCGACCAGUACCUGAGUCUGGCGAGGAGCCACCUGAGCCACCUUCGAGCCAGGUGAGGGUGUGUCCC